rnacentral:lncRNA from 1 species
UAUAGAAUACAAUUAAUGAACUGAAAUAACUAACUCAAUUAAAUGAAAUGAGAUGAAAUGAACUGAAACGAAACGAACAAAACUAACACAAUAAAAUGGUAGGCUGAAUCAAAUGGCUGGGUGUUAUUUCAUACCGAGCUCAAAAUAAAUAGUAAUAUACCUUGCCACACAGGCAAGUCAAAUAAUGCCACACAGGCAAUCAAAAUAAUGCCACACAGGCAAUCACACAUCGGACUGCGCAAUCCAGAUGCGUGCAAAAUCGGAAGGCGUGUUUGGCACAAACAUCACCAAUCCGCAGAACAGAACAGAACAGAAACUAGGGUCGACCCAUACGCCUCCCACAACAAAACACCAAAUGGCCAACUCCCACCGGAGCACAAAACGGAGACGCCGUGGACUGAUCACACCGCCACGGAAGGUGUCAUGCCUCGGUGCCAAGAGGACAUGCUUGUGGUACCCCCACAUGUGGUUAUAGCUCAGGUAUACCCUACGGUAUUCUAACAA